rnacentral:rRNA from 1 species
UGCCAGACUCCUACGGGAGGCAGCAGUGGGGAAUAUUGCACAAUGGGGGAAACCCUGAUGCAGCGACGCCGCGUGAGUGAAGAAGUAUUUCGGUAUGUAAAGCUCUAUCAGCAGGAAAGAAAAUGACGGUACCUGACUAAGAAGCCCCGGCUAACUACGUGCCAGCAGCCGCGGUAAUACGUAGGGGGCAAGCGUUAUCCGGAUUUACUGGGUGUAAAGGGAGCGUAGACGGUGAAGCAAGUCUGAAGUGAAAGGCGGGGGCUCAACCCCCGGACUGCUUUGGAAACUGUUUGACUGGAGUGCAGGAGAGGUAAGUGGAAUUCCUAGUGUAGCGGUGAAAUGCGUAGAUAUUAGGAGGAACACCAGUGGCGAAGGCGGCUUACUGGACUGUAACUGACGUUGAGGCUCGAAAGCGUGGGGAGCAAACAGGAUUAGAUACCCUAGUAC